rnacentral:lncRNA from 1 species
GUCUGGCUCUCGAGAUUCGGAGGGCGGUGCCUCUUCGAUUUUGGAGCAAGCAAUCUUGUUGGGAGUGUUUUCUCGAAUGUGAGUAAAGGUUGGGCAUGUUUGCUAGUCUACCUUGCCACGAAACACAGAGGUUGACACACAGGGACUUUCCAAUUAUCCAGCAAUGGUACUGUUCCUUUACCCUCUCUUCGAUUUUUGAGAAAGUAGUCAUGUUGGGAGUCUGGCUCUCGAGAUUCGGAGGACGGUGCCUCUUCG